CACAUAAUCUAUGUACCGGUACUUGCCGUACACACCAUUAAAAACUUCGUUACCAUUGACAUGUACGUUCACCGGCGAAACGUGAUAUAUAAACUCGUAUCAUAAUCAGUCUUCGGAUCCUGAAUUUAUUAAUAUUUUCGAAAUGUUGGUAAUCGGAUUAUUGUCAGUAUUAGCCGUCGUAUCAGGUGUAACACGGUGACACCGUUACACAGGUUUCGGUACUGAUCUCGAAAAAGACUGCAAUAAUCCCACUCACGACUAUGAAAGCAUUAGCAAACUGCCAAGCACCGUGAUUUCCUUUCCUUUUCAAACUGAUUUGCUGACGAAAGAAGAAUGCAUUGCUUUUGCUACCAUCGGGGAAGAAGAUGCCUGCAGACUAGUGUUAAACAUCGAGAACUGCGAUAUUACCGUACAAGAUUAUUACUACAGAUAUCAUGCGGUGUCAAGAACAUACCUGAAAGUCGACUGUUAUCGGCAAAAACGUUCCGAUAUGCGGGAUUUAACGAGAAACAUUAGCAGAAUUAGCCCGAACCGAGCUGUCACCAUUCUCUUAGUCGAAAAAAGCAACACGGUACAUUCUGAAGUUGCUGAACCCAUUCGGCAACAAAUCAUUGAGCUGAGCGUUGAGUCUAAUACAUCUGUCACCACACGUAAGGUUUACGAAGCCGGUAUCUUGCCGAAAUUAUUGCGUUUUGAAGUGCAGUAUGGCUCCGAUCUGAGUGUUAACAAGCAGGAUUUUUCACGCAUGCCGGAAGUGCGGAUGAUCUGCUUUAUGUCGUCUAUCAUUGAUACACUGGAACGUUACACAUUUAUGGACUUGCCGCAUUUGAAGAGCCUGAUGCUGGAGAAGGAGAUUAGUUCUGAGUUGGCCCGAAAGGAAUGGCUUGCAGAGGUUUCCUCAAAUCGCACCUAUGAGUCAAAGCUCAUCAGCAUCAACGAUGUCCAGAAAGUGCGACGCUUGCAUUGUGACUGCUCGUUUGCCUGGUUCCGGAAUUUCUUGCAGCUGAAGCCACACCUCAUUGCCUACAGAGAAGCUGGGGAGGUGUUUAUUGUGGGCAAUUAUUUGUCGCCCUACGCACUCUCCCUAAGACGUGUGGACCCGCAAAUGAUGAGCGUGGAUUGUGCGCGGGAGCUGACGUACAACAAUACUCGCGUUGGCAAACAUUUUGCUUACAAUACAUACUGCAACAAUUUAAUUUGUAACCUUUAGACGCGCGGUUCGACAACUGGCAUCCCAUUACCCGGUUCUAAUACCGGAUCACCGUAGCGUAACGGUACUAAUGUAAGCAGUGGAAUGCAGUAAAUAUGUCAUAUGUUUAACAUACUAAUUCCGUUGUGAGCGUUGCAAAACGCUCAGAUCAUUUGCGUACAACAUCGAAGGAUGUGACAUUUCAAGUAAAAGAUACUUAAGAAAGGAUGUCCGUGAUAAACAGUCCGCUUACU